GGGGGGGGGGGGAGGGGCUGUCGAUGGCAUGACUUGCGUACGAAUGAAUCUUUAAAAACCCACUGUUUUAUCAAGGCUCUUUCUCUUUCUCAUAUAUAAAAAAAAAGACAAAUGAAGAAAAAUGUAUGUAUACAAUUGGCAAAUUUGACAUCAAUAUCUUUCAAAAUAAUUGACCUUCAUAUUUGAGGGCCAGUUCUAAUUUGGACAAAUACUUCAUCACAGUCCAAAUGAGGGCUGUCACAACAAAUAAUAAUAAAACAUAACAAACAAAAACAAGAAAAAAUAUUAGGCAUCUCUUUUCCCCAAAAGUAUUGAAACAGGGGUCCACUCAUAGGAGGCCAGGAUCCAACCUAAGGCUCCAGAUUAAUAAAGUCAGCCCCAACUUGGCAGCCCAAGAGAGGCCUCCUGCCAUGAAAUGUGUGCAGGCAUACAACAGCUGAGCAAAAAGUUUGUUUUAGAAGAAGAAAAAAAAAUUCUGUUGCUGUUAAAAAAAAUGCUAAAGUUUACCCAGUGAACAACAGUUGCAAAAACAACUGAUACUUGAAGUUAGAACUGUACAACAGGUCAUUUUAUUCAGAAGCUAGUCUAGACAGAUGUAGUCUCAGGUAAAAAAACAACUACCCAAUAUCUUGAUCUAAGUUGAAAAACAUUCUCAUCUCUUACAAAGAGUGUCCUAGUUCGAAGAAUAUACAUAGAAGAAACAAGUUUGUUUUUUUUUUCAAUUUGAUUUCUAGUCAAAAUUUUACUUUAGUUCAUUUAUUUGUGUCGAUUUACUAUAUAACAGAAGAAAUUACAGACACUUGUAUCAAACUAAUUAAGCAGAGCUGAUCAUCAUUGACAAACUAAAUGUUUAAAUAGCCUCUUCUGGCAGUAGUCCUCUACAUAUGUAAAAGCCCAACUAAAACAAACAUAUCAAUACUAUUCAAUCUAAAAAAAGGUUUUUUUAGAACCCAGAUUAAACCCAAACUCAGCCAGACCUGCAAGUAGAUUAAAAAGUGAGCAAACUUUGGAAUGGUUCUAGAACAUUUCAGAUCAUUGAACAGAAACUUGGAUGAGAAGUGAACACGUGACACUGUAUGACUAGAUGAUGUUAGAACACAAGGGAUCAGACUUGGAACCCAAAUAAACCCAAUCAAGUUCAUUUUAAAAAGCACUGAGAUUGUGUAUAAACCAAUCAAAAAGAUCUGAAAUUUGAACCAGGAAAAAAUUCUGGUUUUCUUACUGUACUUGUUAUUUGAAUAAACAAACU